UGCUCUGCAAAGCCUGAACAUAAUCCUGGGGAUACCUUUUGCCAUGUUGAGGUCAGUGUUCUCGCUAAUUUGAUCAGUGGCUGUUGCAGAGGGAAAAUUACAUAAGGAUUUCCUUGCCAGUUUUGAGUUCAGAAAAAAACCAAAAAUCAAAAACGGCAAACCUAUGGAAAGAAGGAGCUGUCACCAUAACCUACUUGUGUCCAGCAGCCAACAAGUGAAUUGUACCCGAUGGCACGGCAGCAGGCAUAGGAAAAGCUUUCAGAUUGGAAAAAAUUCAUCAUUGAGGUGGGAGUGAUUCCUGAUACCAGCUGCCUGUAUCCAGUUGAGAACACUGGUUUAUCAGAGUCUUCUUUUUUGAAGAUGAUACACUGGCUGCUGUUUCUGUCUGGGUGAGUAGGUGUGACUGUGAAGAGAAAUAUGAUCUUUUCUGCAUAGAUUUCCUAGUGAUUGUCCCCUAUUCUCUCCUCUCCCCUCAAGCCUUUUUAUUAGGCAUUCUGUUCUUUUGUAGCUUUGUAUCUUUGCUUUCUGGGUUGUUUAAUUUCCCAAUAAAGGAGGAAAAGAUUAAAUGGAACCUUUGCACAACACUAGAU
rnacentral:lncRNA from 1 species